CCACCCCCGUGCCCAUGGGGACAGCGAGCCCUUUGUCCCCAGCCUCGCGCCCCCCCCCCCGGCCCGGGGAAUGCCGAGCAUUCGGGGUGCUCAGCACAAACCCCAUGGGGGUGGCACCCACGCAGGACUGGGGAGGGGGGGGGGGGGGGCCAACCCAGGGGGCCCCCCCCCCCAAAAAAAAACAGGCCCUCGCUCCAUUGCACGUGCAAUUUGCAGCUUUAUCAGGUGCAAGGGCGCACUGGUGCACAGAUACGUGGGUGCAAAGGGUGCACGGGUGCAUUGGUGCAGUGGUUGCAUGGGCGCCCCGGUGCAUGGGUGCACGGGUUCAAGGGUGCACAAAUGCGUGGGUGCAUGGUUGCAUGGGUGCAAGGGUGCGUAAAUGCAUGGGUGCAUGAGCGUGCAAUGCAUGGGUGCACAGGUGCAUGGCUGCAAGCGUGCCCAGAUGCAUGGGUGCACGGGUGCAGGGGGCGCCUGGGUGUUUUAGUGCGCUGGUGCAAGCGUGCCCAGAUGCAUGGGUGCAUAGUUGCAAGGGUGCACAAUGCAUGGGUGCACAGGUGCAUGGCUGCAAGCGUGCCCAGAUGCAUGGGUGCACGGGUGCAAGGGGUACCUGGGUGUUCUGGUGCACCAGUGCAAGGGUGUACGGAUGCAUGGGUGCACAGUUGCACGGGUGCAAAGCUGCAGCAGGUGCAUGGUUGCACGGUGCUCGGGUGCACAAAUGCAUUGGUGCAAAGGGUGCGUGGGUGCACGGAUGCACAAGUGCACGGGUGCACGGCUGCAUGCGCACAAAGAUGCACGAGUGCACAGUUACGCCGUGCACAGGCGUGCAGCUGCAUGGGUGCAAAGAGGCACGAGUGUGCAAAUGCAGGGGUGCGCGGGUGCAAAGGCGUGCAACUCACAGAGGGGUGGGAGCACGGGUGCACGGGGUGCAAGGGGUGCACGGGUGCGCGGGGUGUACGCCAGCACCCCCACAUCACGUCCCCCCCCUCCUCGGUGCCACCCUCCCUGCAGCCAGCACGGCCCCGUAUGCAUCACCCCCCCCCCCCCAAUGCAAUGGGGACACGGGGAUAUGGGGACAUGGGGGGGAUGUGGGGGACACUGGGACAUAGGGACCCAGGGAGUGGGGAUAUAGGGACAUGGGGGACACGGGGAUAUAGGGACAGGGGGAUAUGGGGACAGGGGGAUAUGGGGACGGGGGGACAUGGGGAUGGGGGGGAUGUGGGGACAGGGGGACAUGGGGGACACAAGGAUGGGGGAUAUGGGGACGUGGGGACACAGGGACAGGGGGCACACGGGGACACGGGGAUAGGGGUAUAUGUGGCCAUGGGAAUAUGGGGACAGGGGGAUAAGGGGAUAAAGGGAAAGGGGGACAUGGGGAUAUGGGGACAAGGGGACACAGGGACAUGGGGAUAUGGGGUCAGUGGGAUAUGGGGACAGGGGGAGAGGGGUAUUGGGGGACAAGGGGACACAAGGCAAUGGGGACAUGGGGGUAUGGGGACACAGGGACAGGCCCUUACCUCCGUCCCGUGUCCGUGCCCGCCCGGUGCUGGCCCCGCAGGCGGGGGGACGUAGGGGAAAAGGGGCCGGGGGCUGGGGGCCGGGCGCUGGGGGCUGCGGGUGGCCAUUGGUGGCCCCGGGCGCGGGGGCCGGUGGCACCCGGCCCUGCAGAGGCUGGCACGGGCU
rnacentral:lncRNA from 1 species